rnacentral:rRNA from 1 species
GAUGAACGCUGGCGGCGUGCCUAAUACAUGCCAGUCGAGCGAACAGACGAGGAGCUUGCUCCUCUGACGUUAGCGGCGGACGGGUGAGUAACACGUGGAUAACCUACCUAUAAGACUGGGAUAACUUCGGGAAACCGGAGCUAAUACCGGAUAAUAUAUUGAACCGCAUGGUUCAAUAGUGAAAGACGGUUUUGCUGUCACUUAUAGAUGGAUCCGCGCCGCAUUAGCUAGUUGGUAAGGUAACGGCUUACCAAGGCGACGAUGCGUAGCCGACCUGAGAGGGUGAUCGGCCACACUGGAACUGAGAACCGGUCCAGACUCCUACGGGAGGCAGCAGUAGGGAAUCUUCCGCAAUGGGCGAAAGCCUGACGGAGCAACGCCGCGUGAGUGAUGAAGGUCUUCGGAUCGUAAAACUCUGUUAUUAGGGAAGAACAAAUGUGUAAGUAACUAUGCACGUCUUGACGGUACCUAAUCAGAAAGCCACGGCUAACUACGUG